UACAGAGGGUGCAAGCGUUAAUCGGAAUUAUUGGGCGUAAAGCGUGUGUAGGUGGUUGUGUAAGUUAGAUGUGAAAUCCCCGGGCUCAACCUGGGAAUUGCGUUUAAUACUGCAUAGCUAGAGUAUUGUAGAGGAUAGUGGAAUUUCCAGUGUAGCGGUGAAAUGCGUAGAUAUUGGAAGGAACACCAGUGGCGAAGGCGACUAUCUGGGCAAAUACUGACACUGAGACACGAGAGCAUGGGGAGCAAACAGG
rnacentral:rRNA from 1 species